rnacentral:rRNA from 1 species
CGUAGGCAGCGAGCGUUGUUCGGAGUUACUGGGCGUAAAGCGUGCGUAGGCGGUUUUGUAAGUUUGGUGUGAAAUCUCCCGGCUCAACUGGGAGGGUGCGCCGAAAACUGCAAGGCUGGAGUGUGGGAGAGGUAGGCGGAAUUCCUGGUGUAGCGGUGAAAUGCGUAGAUAUCAGGAGGAACACCUGUGGUGUAGACGGCUUACUGGACCAUGACUGACGCUGAGGCACGAAAGCGUGGGGAGCAAACAGGAUUAGAUACCCUGGUAGUCCACGCCCUAAACGAUGCAUACUUGGUGUGGGUAAUUCAUUUUAUCCGUGCCGGAGCUAACGCGUUAAGUAUGCCGCCUGGGGAGUACGGUCGCAAGGCUG